rnacentral:lncRNA from 1 species
AUUUCUUCCUUUUUCAUCCAUUUAUUUUGUGUGUGCGGAUGCUUUGUUUGCACAUGUAUUUAGACACCACAUGUGUGCCGAGUGCCCGGGGCAGCUAGAAGAGGGUUUCAGAUCAGAUCUCCUGGAACUAGAGAUGGUGAUGAGUUGCCUGGGUUCUAGGAAUUGAGCCUAGGUCCUCCGGGAGAUCAGCCAACUCCCAGCUACUGACCGUUUCUCCAGGCAUCCCCCUCCGAGGCCCCCCUAGAGUUGGGGAGAUACUUGGGAGGGAGAAGAAAGGAAUCAGGCCCACAAGUCUCUAAAAUGGCUCUCAUCACUUGUCCAUGACAUCCCCUCUCAUAUUCCGUGAGACAGCGAGCCUCACAGCAGAGGAAGUCCAGCUUUUCAGGAAGACAGUGGAGACAGAGGCUACCACAGAGCUUGUCUCCUCUGUGGGUUCCGAUUAAAAUUGCCUUCGUGCUCGCAAGGCAACUUUACACCCCGGCUAUCUCCCCAGGCCCUAAGCUGUUCUUUAUCACACAAGCAUGAUUUCCCUGGGAUCAUGAUUUCUUCCUUAUGGAGUCUCUGGUUGUCUGCCAGGCAAGCUCAACUUUGCCAGAUACAUGAGGGGGGUAAAGAGCAGCCUCAAGGCCUCCUUCCUGCCCUCACAAGCCUGCCUGUCUGUUCCCAGCACCUGCAAUCCCUGCUUAGGCUCUCUGCCAGCUCUCUGCCCCAUUGACUGCAUACCCUAAGCAUCUACUGUGGGGGCAAGACCAUGCUUGGAUGAUAAUAAAUAAAAUUAAAUAAACAACUCAAGACUCAGCUUCACGUGGUAAUACAUGCCUUCAGUUGCACUUGGCAAGCAGAGGCAAGCGGAUAACUGAGUCUGAAGCCAACCUGGUCUACACAGAGUUCCAGGAUGAUCAGGACUAGAAUAGAGAGACCCGCCCCACCCCCACCAUCUCAAAGACACACAUACAGACACACAACUUAAACUCAAUACACUAUAUUGGCUACAUACUGUGGAGGUCAGAAGACAGCUUGCAGGAGUUGGUCCUUUCUUUCCACCAUGUGGUUCCCAGGGAUUGAACUCAGGUUAUGGACGUGGCAGGGAACACCCUCACCCACUGAGCUAUACCCAAGGCCCAUAUUUAGGCCUUCAUAACACAGGGUCUGGUACGUACACAGGUGAAUGUACUGUGUAGCUGAGACCGGCCUCGACCUCUGUCCAGCCUCUGCUUACUGAGCUGAGAUUACAGGCACACACUUAUUUACUUUUAUAUUUGCAUUUUAAGUGUUUUUUUUUUAAGAUUUAUUUAUUUAUUAUAUGUAAGUACACUGUAGCUGUCUUCAGACACUCCAGAAGAGGGCAUCAGAUCUCAUUAUCGAUGACUGUGAGCCACCAUGUGGUUGGUUUCUGGGAUUUGAACUCAGGACCUUCGUAAAAGCAGUCAGUGCUCUUCCCACUGAAUCAUCUCUCCAGCCCCCACCCCGCCCCCACUGAGCCAUCUCUCCAUCAACCCCCUUUUCAAACGAUUUUAUGUUAUAGUAUGUGUAUGAGUGACUUGCCUGCCUGUCUGUAUUGUGGAAGUCAGAAGAGGAGGUAGAUUUCCCUGGAACUGGAAUUAUCGACAGAUGCGAAUUGCCACUGUAGGUGCUAGAAACAGCAAAUACUCGUUAACUACUGAAGCAUCUCUCCAAACCCUUCUUGCUGAUUUUACAGCUCAACCAAAGGGGCUCUUUGUAUAUUACACAGCCCCAACCUCCUCUCUGAAAAGACAGGAAACUGAGGCCCAGAGAAAUGGCUGUGCCCCACAGAAUCUGCGCCACAGUGCUGUGCUGCACUGUAGACUGUUUCCUGUCGGAACAAUGCUGCCCCCUGGUGGUCAUUCGCAAAAACCGGCUACCUGCACCGAGCAACUGGGGCUCCUCCUUCAGACUUAGAACUUCACUCCCUUUGCCUCUCAAACCCCUCAGAGGCUGCGUCACCAAAAGUCUUCCUCUUCCAUUAAUUCCAUGGCAGAAUUUCUUCACUGAGCCCCGCCUGCUAGACAUGAGCUGGUACGAUCCAUGACUAUGAACACAGAGGUUUGAAUUCUGGCUCAGUCCAUUUCUAUUGCUCAUAUUUCUUUUUGUUUGUUUGGGGUUUUGUUUUGUCUUGUUUUUGGUUUGAGGUUUUUUUGUUGGUUUUGUUUUGUUUUGUUUUGUUUUGUUUUGUUUUGUUUUGUUUUGUUUUGCUUCAAGACAGGGUUUCUAUGUAUAGUCUUAGCUGUCCUGGAACUUGCUUUGUAGACUAGGCUGGCCUCUGUUUCCCAAGUGCUGAGAUAAAUGUUGCACGCCACUACUGCCUUGAAAAACAAAACAAAACAAAACAAAACAAACAAAAGAACAAAGAAAAAGAAAGGAGAAGAAAUAAGGAAGG